GACGAACGCUGGCGGCGUGCUUAGCACAUGCAAGUCGAACGGAAAGGCCCUGCUUUUGUGGGGUGCUCGAGUGGCGAACGGGUGAGUAACACGUGAGUAACCUGCCCUUGACUUUGGGAUAACUUCAGGAAACUGGGGCUAAUACCGGAUAGGAGCUCCUGCUGCAUGGUGGGGGUUGGAAAGUUUCGGCGGGUGGGGAUGGACUCGCGGCUUAUCAGCUUGUUGGUGGGGUAGUGGCUUACCAAGGCUUUGACGGGUAGCCGGCCUGAGAGGGUGACCGGCCACAUUGGGACUGCGAUACGGACCAGACUCCUACGGGAGGCAGCAGUGGGGAAUAUUGCACAAUGGGCGGAAGCCUGAUGCAGCAACGCCGCGUGCGGGAUGACGGCCUUCGGGUUGUAAACCGCUUUCGCCUGUGACGAAGCGUGAGUGACGGUAAUGGGUAAAGAAGCACCGGCUAACUACGUG
rnacentral:rRNA from 1 species